rnacentral:SRP_RNA from 2 species
GCCAGGUGUGGUGGCGCACACCUGUAAUCCCAGCUACUCAGGAGGCUGAGGCAGGAGAAUUGCUUGAACCUGGGAGGCAGAAGUUGCAGUGAGCUGAGAUCGUGCCACUGCACUUCAGCCUGGGUGACAGAGCGAGACUCCGUCUCAA